AGAGCAGUACAAAUGAUCGCUGUUCUAUGCCCCGCAUAGAAUAGAGGAAAGUCCGGGCUCUACAGGGCAAGGUGCUGGGUAAUACCCAGUCCCGGUGACGGGAAGGAAAGUGCCACAGAAAACAUACCGCCCGAUUGGAGGGGUGAUCCAUCCGAUCGGGUAAGGGUGAAAAGGCGAGGUAAGAGCUCACCGCUCCGAUGGUGACGUCGGGGGCACGGCAAACCCCACCUAGAGCAAAACCAAAUAGAGGGGCAUUUGAGGGCUGCCCGUCCGAGCCCCAGGGUAGGUUGCUUGAUCCCAAUAGUAAUAUUGGGGCUAGAUAAAUGAUCAUUGUCCCAUUGAGGGUGACUGAUAUGGGAAACAGAACCCGGCUUAUGGACUGCUCUAACA
rnacentral:RNase_P_RNA from 1 species